rnacentral:lncRNA from 11 species
UGCAAAUGCUGGAGUGGCAAUAUACCUGUGCUGCGCUUGCUGAUCCAAGUGUCAACUUUGCCUUUCCUUGGAAGAGGUUCCAGUUUCCAGCUCCUUGCCUUGUCUUCAGAAUCCAUGCCGAGUUUCCAGUUUCAGGAGAGCCGUGCCAAGUCACAACUCCCGAGUAGACCUUGCCUUGUUACUGCGACUUCCUUGUUCCUGAAUCAAGAUUGACUUUGCUUUGUUUACCUUGCUUCUUUGACUUUGCUACAGGACUUUUCAAGCGGAUUUGCAGUGCUUUGUUCCCACUAUUGCUUCAUGGACAAACUUUGAUUUCUAAAGGAAGCUAUCGAGUUUCACUUGUGGAUUACAAAUUGGACAUUGAUAAACUCUUUCUGAAUUGCAAUAGACUAUAUAUUAUGGACUAUUCCUUACUCUAACUUUCCACCUUAAAUGUGCAU